CUCUAUGUGAUGAAAUUGGAGAUACUGUGUAAUAAUUCACAAAUACUGAACAUUGAUCUAUUAUCGGGAUGUUUACUGUAUGAAUAUAAGAAAAAGGAGUACUUGUGGCA